rnacentral:rRNA from 1 species
CCUACGGGUGGCAGCAGUGGGGAAUAUUGCACAAUGGGGGAAACCCUGAUGCAGCGACGCCGCGUGAGUGAAGAAGUAUUUCGGUAUGUAAAGCUCUAUCAGCAGGGAAGAAAAUGACGGUACCUGACUAAGAAGCCCCGGCUAACUACGUGCCAGCAGCCGCGGUAAUACGUAGGGGGCAAGCGUUAUCCGGAUUUACUGGGUGUAAAGGGAGCGUAGACGGCCAGACAAGUCAGAAGUGAAAGCCCAGGGCUCAACGCUGGGACUGCUUUUGAAACUGCCGGGCUAGAGUGCAGGAGAGGUAAGCGGAAUUCCUAGUGUAGCGGUGAAAUGCGUAGAUAUUAGGAGGAACACCAGUGGCGAAGGCGGCUUACUGGACUGUAACUGACGUUGAGGCUCGAAAGCGUGGGGAGCAAACAGGAUUAGAUACCCCUGUAGUC